rnacentral:rRNA from 1 species
GACGAACGCUGGCGGCGUGCUUAACACAUGCAAGUCGAACGAAGUGGCGAACGGGUGAGUAACGCGUAAUCAACCUGCCCUUCAGGGGGGGACAACAGUUGGAAACGACUGCUAAUACCGCAUACUGAAGGAGGGGUUUGCGUCUGAUUAGCUAGUUGGAGGGGUAACGGCCCACCAAGGCGAUGAUCAGUAGCCGGGCUGAGAAGAUGGACGGCCACAUUGGGACUGAGACACGGGCCAGACUCCUACGGGAGGCAAGCGUGGGGAAUCUUCCGAAAUGGAGGAAAGGCUGACGGAGCAACGGCGCGUGAGUGAUGACGGCCUUCGGGUUGGAAAGCUCUGUUAAUCGGGACGCGGUACCGGAAUAGAAAGCCACGGCUAACUACGUGCCAGCCGCCGCGGUAAUUC